CGAAAAAGCAAUCGAAGUCAUCCUACAUAUGUCGCUUCGUAUAUUUUCAAAGCUAUGGUUUUAAAUCUUGAAGGUUUUAGAACUUUCGCUCUUGAAUCGCUUGAUUCGGCGUUGGGGAUUUCUCGCUGCCGAUUCUCUUGCUGGGGAAGAACGUGGUGAUGCGUUGUUUAAGAGAGUUGAUUUAAAACUCGCGACGAGUGAACACGAAAGACUUGACUCGGCGAUUGCGGAUUUGACUGAGUAGGUGAUUUUGAGUCCUAAGAACGUGAAAUCUUGGUGUGUGUUAGGGGAUAAGCAGGUAGUUCUUUUAGUAUUUAGUGGUUCCAAGCCAUUUUAUAUUAUUGUUUAAUAUUCUUACUUUCUGUUUUAUACUUGAUUUUGUUUCAGGAUCAUUGAUUUAUACUUUAUGUUGUUUGUUGUUACUUUAGGACAAUACUAUGAUAUAUCUAUGUCAUUUAUAAUAUUCUGGUUUAUCAUUGAUGCUACUUUGUUGUGUGUUUUAUAUUCUUCUUUGUAAUAUUCAUCAUUGAUGGUGUUUUGUUUUGUGAUUUAGGUUUUGAUUUUAUGUGUUUUAAUUCUUGAAUUUUGAAGAUUCUAAUAUUUUGUUUUGGUUGAUUUUAUGAUGUUUUUUGUUUGAUUAAUGGAUAAUUACCCUUCAGAGCAUGUGAGGGUUGAGUUGUCUAAGAAGGUGGGGUUGACGGAUCAGAAGUUGCAGAUGUGGUUCUGCCCUAGUUGGUUAGUUCUUGAGUUAACUCAUUUGUUAGGGGUUUCACUAAUUUUGUUAUUGUUGUAGUUGAACUUCUGAAAUUGAAGUUGAAAAUGGAAUCAAGGAGAUACUUUAAAUGGAUGAUAUAUAAUGAUUUGGAGAUGUUGGUGCCUUAGAUGAUAAUGUAGAGUCCUUUCUAUCAAAUGAUGAGGGCAAUCUCUAUGGAGCUAUUAAACAAAGUCCAGCUGAGUAAACAAAAGAAUCUUCAAAAGGAAAGUUGGCACAGGCCAAAGGGUAUUGACUCACGUGUUAGGAGAAAGUUCAAAGGAGUUACUUUGAUGCCAAACAUUGGUUAUGGGUCUGACAAGAAGACUUUCCACUAUCUGCCUAACGAUUUCAAAAAGUUUGUUGUCCAUAAUGUCAAGGAUCUAGAACUUCUGAUGAUGCAUAACAAGUGACAUACUCUAAAUUUUCCCCUCAUUCAAUAAACCAACGCAUUCAUCAAUACAUUUGCAUCAUCUACACAUCAUAACAUGCAUUUCAUCUCGCAUAAUGUUUAAAAUGUCAGCCAGAAUAAAUUUUUGAAUUUACAGAUAGACUGGUUGGACUUAUUCUCAAAUGUAUGUAAAAUUAACGGGCGAAAAAUAUCAAA